GCUCCUUUAGUGUAGCCCGGUCAAUCACUAUGCCCUCUCACGGCAUGAACCUGGGUUCAAAUCCCAGAGGGAGCG
rnacentral:tRNA from 1 species